GACGAACGCUGGCGGCGUGCUUAACACAUGCAAGUCGAACGGAAAGGCCCUGCUUUUGUGGGGUGCUCGAGUGGCGAACGGGUGAGUAACACGUGAGUAACCUGCCCUUGACUUUGGGAUAACUUCAGGAAACUGGGGCUAAUACCGGAUAGGAGCUCCUGCUGCAUGGUGGGGGUUGGAAAGUUUCGGCGGUUGGGGAUGGACUCGCGGCUUAUCAGCUUGUUGGUGGGGUAGUGGCUUACCAAGGCUUUGACGGGUAGCCGGCCUGGGAGGGUGACCGGCCACAUUGGGACUGAGAUACGGCCCAGACUCCUACGGGAGGCAGCAGUGGGGAAUAGUGCACGAUGGGCGGAAGCCUGAUGCAGCAACGCCGCGUGCGGGAUGACGGCCUUCGGGUUGUAAACCGCUUUCGCCUGUGACGAAGCGUGAGUGACGGUAAUGGGUAAAGAAGCACCGGCUAACUACGUG
rnacentral:rRNA from 1 species